GUGGCCAGCAGCCGCGGUAAUACCGGCAGCCCAAGUGAUGUCCCAUAUUAUUGGGCCUAAAGCGUCCGUAGCUGGCCGCGCAAGUCCGUCGGGAAAUCCACCUGCCCAACGGGUGGGCGUCCGGUGGAAACUGCGUGGCUUGGGACCGGAAGGCGCGACGGGUACGUCCGGGGUAGGAGUGAAAUCCCGUAAUCCUGGACGGACCGCCGAUGGCGAAAGCACGUCGCGAAGACGGAUCCGACAGUGAGGGACGAAAGCUAGGAUCUCGAACCGGAUUAGAAACCCUGGUAGUCC
rnacentral:rRNA from 1 species